GAUGAACGCUAGCGGCAGGCUUAAUACAUGCAAGUCGUGGGGCAGCGCAGGUAGCAAUACUGGGCGGCGACCGGCAAACGGGUGCGGAACACGUACACAACCUUCCGAGAAGUGGGGAAUAGCCCAGAGAAAUUUGAAUUAAUACCCCGUAACAUAACGAUGUGGCAUCACAUUGUUAUUAUAGCUUCGGCGCUUCUUGAUGGGUGUGCGGCUGAUUAGAUAGUUGGCGGGGUAACGGCCCACCAAGUCUACGAUCAGUAGCUGAUGUGAGAGCAUGAUCAGCCACACGGGCACUGAGACACGGGCCCGACUCCUACGGGAGGCAGCAGUAAGGAAUAUUGGUCAAUGGACGCAAGUCUGAACCAGCCAUGCCGCGUGAAGGAUUAAGGUCCUCUGGAUUGUAAACUUCUUUUAUCUGGGACGAAAAAAGGCGAUUCUUCGUCACUUGACGGUACCAGAUGAAUAAGCACCGGCUAACUCCGUGCCAGCGACGCCGG
rnacentral:rRNA from 1 species